AAAUGAGUAAAAAAGACAACCCCACCCACGUUAUUCAUUCCCAAAAUAUAGAUAAACAUCAUUAUUUUCUUUUCUUAAAAAGUUGUUUUUGAUGAAACUAAUGAAACAAACAAGUGAACAUAUGUAUAAAAGAAACCAAGAGGGAAAAAGUUGUGAACUGAUAUUUCCAUUUUAAAGCAUCAGUGCCCUUUGUGAUUAAGGUAUUACUAUUAUAUGUGUUAUGCUUCGAUCAUAUUUUCCAUGUGUAGGUGAGUGAGAUUAUGGAACCUGAUGCUUGUGUUGAAAGAGGCUAAAAUUGAGUUGGGAUAUCAUUAUCAUUCUAGAGGGAACUGUCCUCAUAUGUAAUAAUUUGAUUUCGUAUCGCAACCUUUUAGUAUUUUGGUCGGUCAAAAAAGCACUAAAUAUAAUUUGAGCUUGUUCUAUGCUAACCUCGUGUCUAUUGUUGACGAUGCUCUUUACCACUUCAAUUAAGUUGGUUUUUUGUGAAAAAUGUACCAUGCCAAACACACCCUUUAGUUGUUGGAGGAUGAGAAUCACUGCUGUCCCUCCCAUGAAGCCAUUGAUGGUAGAAUGAGAGAAAAAGUCCACCAGUAUCCCCAGCCUGCAACAAGUUUUGCAAAAUAUAUAUGUAAUUCUUCAUUUGUAAGAAACAUAUUUAAUAGAUUUCAACUGAUAAAGAGAUGUGUUGGAAGCAUUUUCUGAUAUCAUUAAUUAAAAUGUUCCUUUGACAACUGCAAAGUAGAAAGUAAAGUAUAAUCUGGUGCAUAAUUAUCAAGGUAGUAACAGUGUAUCAUUAAAACUUGGUUAGAGAAAGACCCUUUACAUGUCCCCACAUGAGAAGAAAAUGUGUUAAUUACCUGAAAAUUCCCAAACAAGCCUGGAAAAUACCAGUGAUAAAGGUGGUAGUGAAAAUCAAAUGAAGAUACAAGGUUGGGUCUUCUUUUGGGUCUGCCACUGUUUGUAUGGUUUGACCAAUGAGCAAUGAUGCUGCUGCUAUCGUCCCCACUGCCAUGUGCCUUGAACUCCCAAAAAUAGCAUAGACUAGAGGUGGGACAAAGCUUGAAUCUGAUAAAAUCAUGCCAAAACGUCAAAUCAACACACACAACCUAUUACCUUAAAUUCUUCAUCUCUUCAUCCCAAACCCAACCUUAAAAAAUCGAAUCAACUAUCAGUUUCUUUAUAUCUCACACAACAGCAUUAAAACUGUCGAAGGGAGUUACUUACUCACGUAACUAACUCUCUACACACCCACAUAAUGAAUUCAACCAAACCAUACACAAAGUGAUGCCAAAAAUUUCUCCAUCUUGGUUUCUAAACCAUAGAUGGCCAUUCAGUUUUCUUUCGCUGAUAAAAUUCACACCAAUUCAAUCCAUGCACAACGAAAGAACGAUGUUAGAGAUCUCACGUUAACUUAAAAUUAAGACAUUUCAUAGUAUAUAAGUGGUGAAAAUUCCAUCUUAUAAACCGGUUUUAUAAGGUUGAGUUAGAUAAAGUUCAUGAAAUAAAUCUUGAUUCUAAUCAUAAACACUAUCAUGAGUAAAAUCAAUGGUUUUACUAUAGAGAGCAAUAUAACUAAAUGGUGCCAAACAAACACAGAUGAAAAGCAAAUAAUGACUGAAACACAUGGAAUGAAACAUCAAUCAAACAGAGUGAUUGUAGAAAUGAAUGGAUGAGGGAGAAAAGGAGAGAAAUAAGAGAAAGAAGAGUGAUUUCUUACAAAGGCCAAUGAGAGGAGGAAGGUCUGCAAGUUUGGCAUAGCUGAUGCCUUGAGGGAUGGCAAGGCUUGAGAUGGUUAAACCAGCAACCAAGUCAGAGCAAAAGAGACGCCAAUUGUAGGUUGGUAGCCACUCAAAGAUGGGAAUGAAGUAUUGCACCCCCUUCAGUAUCCUCCUCGUUGUCUUCUCCUCGUUCUUGAACUGCCUGAAGGGAUCAUCAG
rnacentral:lncRNA from 1 species